rnacentral:rRNA from 1 species
AUGAAGCCCGAAGAGAAGCCCAACCGGCCGCCAUCACGGCUGGACUGCAUAAAGUACUUCAAUGCACUAUGGUCCUGCUACUCGCCAUUCCACCAGAUGCAGAACUAUUACCGCUACGGGGUUUUUGACAACUGCUCCAGCAAGUGGCGCGAUCUCGUCGACUGUCUCAUGCUCAAGACGAAGUCGAGGGCGGAGGUAGAGGAGAUGCUCAUGGCGCGGGAGAAGGCCAGGCCGCACUUCUGGACCUACCGGACUGUCGACGAGGCGUCAGCGAACUGGUGGAAGAUGUACAAGCACAGGGUGAUGAUGUCGUCACCGCCAAAGACUGCAGGUUCUGCUGCGCCUCCUCCCAAACCUGCUGCACCGAAGAAGCGUUGA